CUAGACCGACGGGCCUCGAUCCCGUAAAACUUUAAUUAACAACUAAAUACCCAAGCCAGCGGGCCUCAAUCUA
rnacentral:tRNA from 1 species